rnacentral:rRNA from 1 species
UACGUAGGGUGCGAGCGUUAAUCGGAAUUACUGGGCGUAAAGCGUGCGCAGGCGGUUCGUUGUGUCGGCGGUGAAAGCCCCGGGCUUAACCUGGGAAUGGCCGUUGAAACUGGCGAACUGGAGUGUGGCAGAGGGGGGUGGAAUUCCGCGUGUAGCAGUGAAAUGCGUAGAGAUGCGGAGGAACACCGAUGGCGAAGGAAGCCCCCUGGGUCAAGAUUGACGCUCAUGCACGAAAGCGUGGGGAGCAAACAGG